CUGGACCACAGAAGCAGCCCCUAACAGCCCUUUUGUCCCGCUCCAGCACAGGCAGGCCUUCUAUGCCAGGCUACGACACACUUGCUGGACACAGAAAGCCAGUGCUCCAGGGGUAUCGUCUCCAGUGGGGCAGAAGGAUAGGAACUGCCAGCCUGACCACUAUCCUGACCUGGAGGAGGCAGCCAAGAGGAAGGGGCCCGUAGGAAAGGGCACCACGCCCCAGCGUCAGGGUGGGGGUGACUGGGAGGCCAGGAGUCAAAGGGCCGUACCACCAUAGAGGCUGAAGAACUCAGAGGAACAUUCUGCAAGUCCCUCUUACACCAGCCUCUGGUGCAUGUGCCUCAUGCCCUCUCAGCCAGGCUGCUGAGCUUCUCCUCUUCCUCUGUCCAUUCUUGCUCAUGUAAAAGUCCUGACCAGUAUCUCUGUGUCUUUCAAUAAGCACCAAAUCUUAUCUAUAGCACUCUUCAGUUUUACAUUCGCUUUCAAUUUGACUGUCAAAAUUCUUUUCCCUGCCCUCAUGGCCCUUGCCUUCCCUCCCACCCACUCCCAGCCUCUCCCCAAGGAAACCAGGAGUUGCACAUCUGAGCUGCCCUUAGCAGCCACUUCUCCAAAUUUCCAGGGCCAUGUGACUGUCUGUGAUCUCCUGUGGGGUCAUUAUCCAGUUCAAACACUUGACCAACCAUCUGCCAUAGCUGUGGCUUCCGGUCUCUCCCCAUUCCUCCUGAGCAAGGGAGGCCUGGCUGGUGCAGGGCUCUGCGGUUCCUCCUUGCCAUCCACAGUGAGAGAGGCUCAGCCACAGCAGAGAUCUUCAGUGAAAGUCAGCUAGAUGUGCGGACACCACUUACCGUAACAUUAAUAACAGAUGUAGGUGUUGCUUGGAGAACAAGAAAAGGAAGUAAUGCCUGGCCUGACGGGAAGCAAGGGAUGGAGAGGGCAGUAGCUAAGACUGGCAGGACAACACGGAAUCACUCAAGAAUUUGACCUGAGCAGGAGCUGGAGGGAUGUAGAGAAGCCAUGCGAAUGUAAAUGUCCCAGGAAUCUUCCAACAGCCUGGAAGAUUAAUUCUCUCCCUGUAAUUCGGGAUGGAGGCUUGAGUCAUUUGAUUAGGAUGUUAGAGAAAAGUGUGAUUCCCAGAAAACUAAAGGAUUUGGAAAGCCUCUGUUUUGCCUCAUGCAAUUCUCCCAAAGGUGUAAAUAGCUCAUUUUUCUCCAAGUCAUUUAAGAUGUCUGGAUGCAAAAGCCAGGGCCCUGACACAUGCUGUGACUGGCCCUCUCUGCUCCCACUGCGUCUCUUGAACAGAAAAAUCCUACCUGCCUUCCAGCUCCAUCCGUUUCUGCACAGAUGCUUGGUCAAAAGCAUUCCCUGAUGUGGAAUUUCCUGUUCUAUCUUACUCUCCACACCAGAGCAGUCUAAACCUCUUUCCUUGAGAACUGCAGUGUUACAAACCCUAACUCUGAAGUCAGGCAGCCUGAUUGUAUGACCUCAACUUCACUGGGAUUCAGUUUCGUAAAUAAUGAAAAAAAGCCCAUUAAAUAACGAAGUAAAGCCCAUUUCAUAGGAUGGGUAUGAGGAUUAAGUGGGGGGAAAUAAAGGGAAAAAAGGUGAAGUAUCA
ensembl:lncRNA